rnacentral:rRNA from 1 species
GACGAACGCUGGCGGCGUGCUUAACACAUGCAAGUCGUACGGUAAGGCCCUUUCGGGGGUACACGAGUGGCGAACGGGUGAGUAAAACGUGAGUAACCUGCCCACAACUUUGGGAUAACGCUAGGAAACUGGAGCUAAUACUGGAUAUGUGAUCCUGCUGCAUGGUGGGGGUUGGAAAGCUCCGGCGGUUGUGGAUGGACUCGCGGGCUAUCAGCUUGUUGGUGGGGUAGUGGCGUACCAAGGCGGCGACGGGUAGCCGGCCUGUGAGGGUGACCGGCGAGCUUGGGACUUAGAUACGGCCCAGGCUCCGACGCGUGGCAGCUGUGGGAAAUAUUGCACAAUGGACGCAAGCCGGAUGCAGCAACGCCGCGUGCGGUAUGACUGCCUUCGGGUUGUAAACCGCUUUCAUCAGGGACUAAGCUUUUUUUGACGGUACCUACAGAAGAAGCACCGGCUAACUACGUG